rnacentral:rRNA from 1 species
UCGAGAAUCUUUCGCAAUGGGCGCAAGCCUGACGAAGCGACGCCGUGUGAGCGAAGAAGGCCUUCGGGUUGUAAAGCUCUUUCGCUAGGGAACAAGAAAGGCGCGAUAAUACCGCGCCGAUUUGAUGGUACUUGGUAAAGAAGCACCGGCUAACUCCGUGCCAGCAGCUGCGGUAAUACGGAGGGUGCAAGCAUUGAUCGGAAUUACUGGGCGUAAAGGGCGCGUAGGCGGAUUGGUAAGUCAGAUGUGAAAUUCCACGGCUCAACUGUGGAGCUGCAUUUGAAACUGCCAAACUAGAGCAUAGUUAGGGAAAACGGAAUUCCACGUGUAGCGGUGAAAUGCGUAGAUAUGUGGAAGAACACCAGUGGUGAAGACGGUUUUCUGGGCUAUUGCUGACGCUGAGGCGCGAAAGCUAGGGGAGCAAACA